GGUAAAGUGAAGGUUGUGAGGAUCACGAGAGGCGGACUCAUCGAAUCCCCGACUGCCCCUGAAAAGGCAGUUAACCCACUGUUCCUAGGCCGUCAUUAAAAAUAAGAAUCUGUUCUUAACUGACUUGCCUAGUUAAAUAAAGGGCACCCCUCAAGGGGGGUACAUCAGGCCGCCGCAGGAGUCUCGUGGGAAAUUGAUUUUGAAGAGAUUAAAAAUAUUCCUGGAGUAAUUGAAGCACGUUGGAUGAAUGGUGUGAUGAAUGGUGAAAAAAUAAAGUAUAUUUGUUCUUUUGA